UCCCUGUUGGCUUAGCUGGCUAUAGCGUCCGACUGUUAGAAGUUUCGGAGAAACCUCGGAAUCGGAAGGUCAACAGUUCGAUCCUGUUACGGGGAG